AGAUUGAACGCUGGCGGCAUGCCUAACACAUGCAAGUCGAACGGGAGUAGCAAUACUCUAGUGGCGGACGGGUGAGGAAUACGUAGGAAUUUGCCCUUAAGUGGGGGAUAACCCGGGGAAACCCGGAUUAAGUACCGCAUGACCUCGAAAGAGCAAAGUGGGGGAUCGCAAGACCUCAC
rnacentral:rRNA from 1 species